rnacentral:rRNA from 1 species
UAAGCCAUGUUAGUUAUUGUAGUAAUACAAGGCAGACGGCUCAGUAACACGUAGUCAACCUAACUUAUGGACGGGGAUAACCUCGGGAAACUGAGAAUAAUACCCGAUAGGUCAUGAUGCCUGGAAUGGUUUAUGACUCAAAUAAUUUAUUGCCGUAGGAUGGGACUGCGAGCUAUCAGCUUGUUGGUGAGGUAAUGGCCCACCAAGGCUAUUACAGCUACGGGCUCUGAGAGGAGUAGCCCGGAGAUGGGUACUGAGACAAGGACCCAGGCCCUAUGGGGCGCAGCAGGCGAGAAAACUUUGCAAUGCGCGAAAGCUCGACAAGGUUAAUCUGAGUGGUUCCUGCUAAAGGAACCUUUUGUUAGUCGUAGAAACACUGAUGAAUAAGGGGUGGGCAAGUUCUGGUGUCAGCCGCCGCGGUAAAACCAGCACCUCAAGUGGUCAGGAUGAUUAUUGGGCCUAAAGCAUCCGUAGCCGGCUCUGUAAGUUUUCGGUUAAAUCUGUACGCUCAACGUACAGGCUGCCGGGAAUACUGCAGAGCUAGGGAGUGGGAGAGGUAGACGGUACUCGGUAGGAAGGGGUAAAAUCCUUUGAUCUAUUGAUGACCACCUGUGGCGAAGGCGGUCUACCAGAACACGUCCGACGGUGAGGGAUGAAAGCUGGGGGAGCAAACCGGAUUAGAUACCCGGGUAGUCCCAGCUGUAAACUAUGCAAACUCAGUGAUGCAUUGGCUUGUGGCCAAUGCAGUGCUGCAGGGAAGCCGUUAAGUUUGCCGCCUGGGAAGUACGUACGCAAGUAUGAAACUCAAAGGAAUUGACGGAAUCA